rnacentral:rRNA from 1 species
GAUGAACGCUGGCGGCGUGCUUAACACAUGCAAGUCGAACGGAAAGGCCUCUUUCGGGGGGUACUCGAGUGGCGAACGGGUGAGUAACACGCGAGUAACCUGCCCUUGUCUUUGGGAUAACUUCAGGAAACUGGGGCUAAUACCGGCUAGGAGCUCCUGCUGCAUGGUGGGGGUUGGAAAGUUUCGGCGGUUGGGGAUGGACUCGCGGCGUAUCAGCUUGUUGGUGGGGUAGUGGCUUACCAAGGCUUUGACGGGUAGCCGGCCUGAGGGGGUGACCGGCCACAUUGGGACUGAGAUACGGCACAGACUGCUACGGGAGGCAGCAGUGGGGAAUCUUGCACGAUGAGUGGAAGCCUGAUGCAGCAACGCCGUGUGCGGGAUGACGGCCUUCGUGUUGUAAACCGCUUUCGCUCAUGACGAAGCUUUGUGUGACGGUAGUGGGUAAAGAAGCACCGGCUAACUACGUG